CUUCCCCUAACGUCGACGCUGCUUUCCGUAGCRCGCCGUGAGCCUCAGUCUUUCCGCAGAGUCUGAGUGUAAAAACCCGAAGCGUCGCAGAGGUAGCGUAGGAUCYGCAAAGCGUGAAGGGCCGCUCCGGCACAGAAGACGUCUGUGUGCACGGAUGGAAAGCUCUCUGCGCUUCUGCCCCUCGCUUAAUGCAAAAUCAUUCGUCCUCGAGAGCCAGCUGGGAGAGAAGGCGGUAACAGAUGCAGUGUUCUCGGCUGCAAAGCCCUGUUGCCUGUUACUGCAGCAAGUCUUCAUCCAUAGGCUUCCYGUGC
rnacentral:lncRNA from 1 species